rnacentral:sRNA from 1 species
AGAGUGAGUGGAGCAAGUCAAGAGGAGACAGGAGAGGAUGCAGAGCAGCCUCGACUCAGCUCCUGCACAACCCAUACACUGUGGAGGACAAGUGCGAGAAGGCCUGCCGCCCCGAGGAGGAGUGCCUUGCCCUCAACAGCACCUGGGGCUGUUUCUGCAGACAGGACCUCAAUAGCUCUGAUGUCCACAGUUUGCAGCCUCAGCUAGACUGUGGGCCCAGGGAGAUCAAGGUGAAGGUGGACAAAUGUUUGCUGGGAGGCCUGGGUUUGGGGGAGGAGGUCAUUGCCUACCUGCGAGACCCAAACUGCAGCAGCAUCUUGCAGACACAGGAGAAGAACUGGGUAUCUGUGACCAGCCCCGUCCAGGCUAGUGCCUGCAGGAACAUUCUGGAGAGAAAUCAAACCCAUGCCAUCUACAAAAACACCCUCUCCUUGGUCAAUGAUUUCAUCAUCAGAGACACCAUCCUCAACAUCAACUUCCAAUGUGCCUACCCACUGGACAUGAAAGUCAGCCUCCAAGCUGCCUUGCAGCCCAUUGUAAGUUCCCUGAAUGUCAGUGUGGACGGGAAUG